rnacentral:rRNA from 1 species
AUACGUAGGGGGCGAGCGUUGUCCGGAAUGAUUGGGCGUAAAGGGCGCGUAGGCGGCGCGGUAAGUCUGGAGUGAAAGUCCUGCUUUCAAGGUGGGAAUUGCUUUGGAGACUGGUUGGCUUGAGUGCGGAAGAGGUAAGUGGAAUUCCCAGUGUAGCGGUGAAAUGCGUAGAGAUUGGGAGGAACACCAGUGGCGAAGGCGACUUACUGGACUGUAACUGACGCUGAGGCGCGAAAGUGUGGGGAGCAAACAGGAUUAGAUACCCUGGUAGUCCACACUGUAAACGAUGAAUGCUAGGUGUAGGGGGUAUCGACCCCUUCUGUGCCGCAGUCAACUCAAUAAGCAUUCCGCCUGGGGAGUACGGCCGCAAGGUUGAAACUCAAAGGAAUUGACGGGG